rnacentral:rRNA from 1 species
AUUGAACGCUGGCGGAAUGCUUUACACAUGCAAGUCGAACGGCAGCACGGGGGCAACCCUGGUGGCGAGUGGCGAGCGGGUGAGUAAUACAUCGGAACGUGCCCGGUCGUGGGGGAUAACGUAGCGAAAGUUACGCUAAUACCGCAUACGAUCUGAGGAUGAAAGCGGGGGACCUUCGGGCCUCGCGCGAUCGGAGCGGCCGAUGUCAGAUUAGGUAGUUGGUGGGGUAAAGGCCUACCAAGCCGACGAUCUGUAGCUGGUCUGAGAGGACGACCAGCCACACUGGGACUGAGACACGGCCCAGACUCCUACGGGAGGCAGCAGUGGGGAAUUUUGGACAAUGGGCGCAAGCCUGAUCCAGCCAUUCCGCGUGCAGGACGAAGGCCUUCGGGUUGUAAACUGCUUUUGUAUGGAACGAAAAGGCUCUGGCUAAUACCUGGGGCUCAUGACGGUACCGUAAGAAUAAGCACCGGCUAACUACGUG